CUUUUUUAUUUUUAUUUUUUUUUACAAUUUUGUUAUUUGUCUUUUUUGGUCAAUAUCCCUGGGAUAAAAAUCUGAAUGAAUCGAGUGUGUUUAAAGCCAAAAGAGGCUGCCUUUUCUCCCCCUUAGAUGUGAUCAGGUCAAGAGAGCUUCCUUUUGAUCACCGUGGCUCCCAGCACAGCUGCCUCAUCUGUUCCUCAUUUUUGGGGUUUGAUGUGAAAUAUGAAGAUUGGGCGGAACAACAUGCAACAGGCAAAGUCACAGUGUUACCCUCUGAGCUCUGGAUUGCAGUGGAUGUGGGUGUGCGGGCAACCUUUUUUCACAUGGGGCACACGCUCGACUGCAACUUAAAGCAUUUAAACCUAUGAACCUUCAAACAUACCCCAUUAUAAGUGGAUAUUUAAAAUCUGUUGCACGGUGGAUAAGAGCACGGGCUCUGGAUCUGAAUCCCGUCUACGUCACUCUCUAGCCAUCUGUCUUUGGUGCAGUCUACCUAACUUGGGUGUCUCCAAGUUCCCCAUCAGUGAAAUAGUGAUAAUGGUAAAGAUUAAAUGUUAAUAUUUACUGGAAAAUCAUUUAGGACAGGGGUUGCUGUUGUGGUAACGAACCCGACUAGUAUCCAUGAGGAUGUGGGUUCAAGGGUUCAAUCCCUGGCCCUGCUCUGUGCGUUAAGGGUCCGGCGUUGCUGUGGCUGCAGUGUCGGCUGCAAGGUGUGGCUCGGAUCUGGCUCGGAUCUGGCGUGGCUGUGGUGUAGGCCAGCGACUACAGCUCCGAUUCACCCCCUAGCCUGGGAAUCUCCAUGUGCCACGGGUGCAGCCCUUAAAAAAAAAAACAAAAAAAGAAAGAAAGGAAAAAAAAAAAAGGAACUGCAAACAGUUCUUCUCUCUCAAAGGAAAGACUCCCUUGGUCUCUGAGCAUUGCUCAGAUGAUGUGUAUUCCAGUGUCUGUACCAUCUUGGCCGUUUUUGUCCCAGCUCUCUCCAGGUUUGUCUGGGACCUCACUUAAAGAGGAGUCCCCAGCCUGAACACAGACUGCAGGACGGUCUGCACCGAGCACACGGGUAAGCUUAGCACCUCCUUUGUUCUAGGUUUUCUUUGGACGUGUAUUAUCUCAGCUCGAGAUUGCAUUAGCUGUUCUGACAAUCACAUCGCAUGGUGUUGAUCCACUGACCUUUUGGUCAACAAACCUCCCAAAGUCUUUUUCACCAAUCUCAUACCUAAACACACAAGAACGGCGUUCCAAAUGUUGUGUCUGUCACCUUUAAGAAUUAGUUUAUUUAAGAGUUCCUGUCGUGGCACAGCGAAAACGAAUCCGACUAGGAGCCAUGAAGUUUCAGGUUCGAUCCCUGGCCUUGCUCAGUGGGUUAAGGAUCCGGUGUUGCCAUGAGCUGUGGUGUAGGUCGCAGACUUGGUUUGGAUCUGGUGUUGCUGUGGCUCUGGCAUAGGCCGGCAGCAAUGGCUCUGAUUGGACCCCUAGCCUGGGAACGUCCACAUGCCGUGGGUGUGGCCUGAGAAAGAGAAAAAGACGAAAAGAAAAAAAAAUCAUUUUUUUUAGGUUGGAUGAGGUUUUUUUUUAAAUGAUUUUUAUUUUUUCCAUUAUAGUUGAUGUACAGUGUUCUGUCAAUUUCUACUGUACAGCAAAGUGACCCAGUCACACAUAUAUAAGUGUAUAUAUUUUUCUUUUUCUCACAUUAUCCUCCAUCAUGCUCCUUCACAAGUAACUGGAUGUAGUUCCCUGUGCUGUACAGCAGGAUCUCAUUGCUUAUGCACUUCAAAUGCAAUCGUUUGCAUCUUUAACCCAGACUCUCAGUCCACCCCACUGCCUCCCCCUCCCCCUUGGCAACCACAAGGCUGUUCUCCAAGUCCAGGAGUUUCUUUUCUGUGGAAAGGUUCAUUUGUGCCAUAUGUUAGAUUCCAGAUAUAAGUGAUAUCAUAUGGUAUUUGUCUUUCUCUUUCUGACUUAACUUCACUUAGUUCCAUCCAUGGUUCCAUCCAUGUUGCUGCAAAUUUAGUUUGUUCUUUUUUAUGGCUGAGUGGUAUUCCAUUGUGUAUAGGUACCACAUCUUCUUAAUCCAUUCCUCUGUCGAUGGCCAUUUAGGUUGUUUCCGUGUCUUGGCUAUUGUGAAUAGUGCUGCAGUGAACGUAUGGGUGCAUGUGUCUUUUUCAAGGAAAGUUCUGUCAGGUUAUAUGCCCAAGAGCUGGAUCAUAGGGUAGUUCUAUAUUUAGUUUUCUGAGUACCUCCAUACUGUUUUCCAUAAUGGUGGAACCCUACCAGCAGUGCAGGAGGGUUCCCUUUUCUCCACACCCUCUCCAGCAUUUGUUAUUUGUGGACUUGUUAGUGAUGGCCAUUCUGACUGGUGUGAGGUGGUGGGUGAGUUUUUGCAGUCUGUUGAAACCUUUUUUUAUGCCCCUGUGGUCAUCUGCCAUGAUCCUAGCCCCUCUGAGCUUUGCACUCUGCGAUCCCUCCCAGAUCUUGACACACCUAGGACCUCCCCUGGGCUUUAGUGGUCUGUUGGUCCGUUGUUCAACCAACUUCAAAUCCAGCCAGUGCUGAAUCUGCCUGAUUGUAUUACUGUUCAGCCUGCGUUUCUCCAUCUGGUUAACGUGGUUAUCCGAGGAGACCUUAACACACAACUUGCUGUGACUUAGCUAUGUGCUUUUUUUCCCUUUCAAGGAAAGAUAGCCUGAAAUGCUGUGUGUUUGCCAAGCCCAUGCUUGCUUCUAAAUCCGUCGCUUCUUUCCCUAAGCGGUCAGUAAGUGUAAUGAGUAGUAGGGUUUUACCUAAAGGUUGAUGUCAACUUCACCAACCUGUCAUUUGCAGAAUCUCCCCCUUUGUGCCCUUUUGAAUAUUGAUAUUCCUUCCCUCUGUUGGUUUCAGGUCACUGAUCUAAUAGGCUUCCCCUCUGAUGUGAUUCAUACCUUAUUGGGAGGGUUCCUGGGUCAGUUGGGCAUGUGUGGCUUGAUGGUGCAUUUGUUUCCUGCAAAGGACCCUGGGGGAGGAGCUGUGGCCAGAUGCACCCAGCAGUCGGUGUCUAGUUAGGAGCACCCGCUUUGUCCAGGAGGCCCAGAUCCUGUGCUUCCCGAAGCCUGGGUGGCCAUAGUGGCUGUCUUGUCCCCAUCCCAGCACCUCCUCCCCCACCAUCUCAUUAGGGCACUAAUGGAGCCUGAGGGAGUGUUUUCUGUUAUUGCUGCUUCUCUCCGUCAGACGUGGGUGGGAUGAGAAUUGAGAAUCGGCUGGCUAAUUAAUUAAGUGUGGCAUUUCGUUUCAAAGUUAGCAAGAGACAGUAACUAGCGACAAAGCAACCCAGUGUCUUGGUGCGGGUAGACUUUCUUUUUCUUUGCUUUUUUUGGUGGCCCCCACAGCAUAUAGAAGUUCCCCGGCCAGGGAUCAGAUCUGAGCCACAGGUGUGACCUGUGUGGCAGCUGUGGCCACAGCACAUCCUUUUACCCACUAACCUUUUACCCAGGCUGGGGAUGGAACCUGCGUCCUGGUGCUGCAGAGAUGCCACCAAUCCUGUUGCGCCAGAGCGGGAACGCCUAGAUUUCUCUCUCUCUCUUUCUUUCUCUUUCUUUCUUUCUUUCUUUCUUUCUUUCUUUCUGUCUCUCUCUCUCUCUCUCUUUCUCUCUCUCUCUUUCUUUCUCUCUCUCUCUUUCUCUCUCUCUCUCUCCCUCUCUCUCUCUCUGUAUCUCUCUCUCUCUCUCUCUCUCUCUUUUUUGUUUCUGGCUAUGCCUGCGGCGUAUAGAAGUUCCCAGGCCAUCAAACCCAUGCCCUGGCAGCGACCAAAGCCUCUGUAGUGACAGCACCCAAUCCUAAACCCCCUGGGCCAUAAGAGAACUCCCUGUUUAUCUUUUUUGUUGUUGUUGUUUAUCUUAAUAUUUGACUUUUUUAGGGUGAAUUAGCCCAUGUGUUUUGAACAAUUUUCUUGUUUUACAAUGGAUUGGAGCUCCCGCUGUGGCACAAUGGAAUUGGCAGCAUCUUGGGAGCGCUGGGAUGCAGGUUCAAUCCCUGGCCCCGCUUGCUGUGGUGUAGGUCGCAGUUGCAGCUCAGAUCUGACCCCUGGCCUGGGAAGUCCAUGUGCCUUGGGGCAGCCAAAAAAAAAAGGAUUUGUUUUCUUACCCAGGUGUCUUUGCCCAUUGGUGAUCACACAAGAAUCUGUUAUACACUUUGCAAUUUGGCAUCUAAGAAUUCUCUUUCAGAGUUCUCAUUGUGGCUCAGCAGAAAGAAGCCCGACUGGUAUCCAUGAGGAUGCGGGUUUGAUCCCUGGCCUUGCUCCAUGGGUUAAAGACCUGACAUUGCCGUGAGCUGUGGUGUAGGUCACAGACAUGGCUUGGAGCCCAAGUUGCUGUGGCUGUGGCAUUUGCCAGCGGCUGCAGCUCUGACUUGACCCCUAGCCUGGGAACUUAUAUAGGCCACAGGUGCAGCCCUAAAAAGAAGGGAAAAAGGAAAAAAAAAAA
rnacentral:lncRNA from 1 species